rnacentral:rRNA from 1 species
GUAGGGUGCAAGCGUUAAUCGGAAUUACUGGGCGUAAAGCGUGCGCAGGCGGUUUUGUAAGUCUGUCGUGAAAGCCCCGGGCUUAACCUGGGAAUUGCGAUGGAGACUGCAAGGCUUGAAUCUGGCAGAGGGGGGUAGAAUUCCACGUGUAGCGGUGAAAUGCGUAGAGAUGUGGAGGAACACCGAUGGCGAAGGCAGCCCCCUGGGUCAAGAUUGACGCUCAUGCACGAAAGCGUGGGGGAGCAAACAGGAUUAGAUACCCUGGUAGUCCACGCCCUAAACGAUGUCUACUAGUUGUCGGGUCUUAAUUGACUUGGUAACGCAGCUAACGCGUGAAGUAGGCCGCCUGGGGAGUACGGUCGCAAGAUUA